rnacentral:rRNA from 1 species
GGACCCGCACAAGCAGCGGAGCAUGUGGUUUAAUUCGAAGCAACGCGAAGAACCUUACCAGGGCUUGACAUCCCCCUGACCGGUAUAGAGAUAUACCUUUUCUUCGGAACAGGGGAGACAGGUGGUGCAUGGUUGUCGUCAGCUCGUGUCGUGAGAUGUUGGGUUAAGUCCCGCAACGAGCGCAACCCUUAUCUUUAGUUGCCAUCAGGUGAAGCUGGGCACUCUAGAGAGACUGCCGGGGAUAACUCGGAGGAAGGUGGGGACGACGUCAAAUCAUCAUGCCCCUUAUGUCCUGGGCUACACACGUGCUACAAUGGCCUGAAACAAAGGGAAGCGAAGCCGCAAGGCGGAGCGAAACUCAAAAACCAGGUCCCAGUUCGGAUUGUGGGCUGCAACCCGCCCACAUGAAGUCGGAGUUGCUAGUAAUCGCGAAUCAGCAUGUCGCGGUGAAUGCGUUCCCGGGUCUU